rnacentral:rRNA from 1 species
CUCAGUAACACGUGGAUAACCUGCCCUCAGGACUGGCAUAACCCCGGGAAACUGGGGAUAAUUCCGGAUAGUUCAUGGUAGCUGGAAUGCUCCAUGAUCGAAAGCUAUUGCGCCUAAGGAUGGGUCUGCGGUCUAUCAGGUAGUAGUGGGUGUAAUGUACCUACUAGCCGACGACGGAUACGGGUUGUGGGAGCAAGAGCCCGGAGAUGGAUUCUGAGACAUGAAUCCAGGCCCUACGGGGCGCAGCAGGCGCGAAAACUUUACAAUGCGGGAAACCGCGAUAAGGGGACACCGAGUGCCAGCAUCUUAUGUUGGCUGUCCGCAUGUAUAAAUCACAUGUGUUAGCAAGGGCCGGGCAAGACCGGUGCCAGCCGCCGCGGUAACACCGGCGGCCCGAGUGGUGGCCACUAUUAUUGGGUCUAAAGGGUCCGUAGCCGGUUUGGUCAGUCUUCCGGGAAAUCUGACGGCUUAACCGUUAGGCUUUCGGGGGAUACUACCA